AGAAUCAACGCUGGCGGCGUGCCUAACACAUGCAAGUCGAACGAGAAAGUGGAGCAAUCCAUGAGUAAAGUGGCGCACGGGUGAGUAACACGUGACUAACCUACCUUUAGGUGGGGGAUAACCUAGGGAAACCUGGGCUAAUACCGCAUAACACUUACGAGUCAAAGCAGCAAUGCGCUGAAAGGAGGGGGUCGCGGCCGAUUAGCUAGUUGGCGGGGUAAUGGCCCACAAGGCAGUGAUCGGUA
rnacentral:rRNA from 1 species